AUUGCUGCUCUGUGGCGUAGCUCUAGGGGAGCGCUCUUUUGGAAAGGGGAGGCGGGGCAUCAUGGGAGGGGACCCCCUCCCCCACGUCGACGUUGCAGGAAAGGAAAAGAGAAUCAGGAGCGAGGACAAAGAGGGCCUGCCUUCACCUGCAGCAGAAUUCCCCAACCCACCAAGGAUUUGAGACCCUUCAGGUAUCCUCACCUGGUUUAGCCAGCCGUUUGAAGCCAUUCCUGGGAUUAUGGCCCCUGUUGCAUGCUGACAGCUUCUGGAAGAAACAGUUUUCUUCCUUGAAACCAAAACAGGAUUUCCUUUCCUCCCACUCUGAAGAAGGAAAUGGAGAAGACAGUCAAAACUCCAGGGAAUGGGGCACCUUUCAUUUCAUUAGGAAUAGACAUUAAAAUGUGUGAAAUGUG